CUCUCUUCCAACACUUAGACAAAUUUCAUUCUCAGUCUUUCCUUCCUAUGGUGAACACCGAAAAACUCUGGACCUCUAACACCUUCUGCUUCCGCAAAAUGCUCCUCUAAAGCACCAUUGACGAGUGCCAAUCUUCAGGUCAAGCUCGCCGAAGAAGCGAAGUCAGAACACUUCCAAGCUCCCUCCUCGUUCCGCGACUUUAGUUUAGACUUUUCUCCGACCCCCUUUUCAGCUAAUUGUGCGUGGGGAAGAUAAUACUCUUGGCCAAAUCGCAUCCGAAACACUUGCGAUCUGGAGUAUUAACAGUGUUAGGGAUGGUCAGAACCGGCUUUCUUUGAGGAGCUAUGAAAUGCGAACAUAUUUUGACUGCAUUAAUUUGGUUGGAUGAAAGAAAAAAAGGAGAGGAGGUCUUCGGCUGAACGGAAAAAGGGAGGAGGUUUGGAGAAAGGAAAAAGAAAACAGAGCAAAAAGAGAGAGAGAGAGCCAGAGAGUAGACGGAAGAAAAAUUGAAAAAAGAGGGGUGGAAAAAGGGAAGAGCUUCGACAAGAAAACAGAGCAAAGGAAAACCAAGAAUCGAAGGAAUCAGCAAGGAGUUGCUGUUGCCGCUGCUGCCACCAGAAUCCACCACCACCACCUGCAAGUCCUCACCGCAAAAGCUUGUCUUUUUGUUAAAAGCCAGUGCAAUGUGGAUGCAAGGAAUGGUUUGGACUUUGGAGAUGUGGACUGGACAUGGAUAAAACUUGGAUGAAGAUUAGCAAUAGGAAGGACAAGGCUUAUGAACUCGGAGUCAAAAAUUUCCUCAAGUUUGCAUAUUCUCAAAAAGUUGACACUCAGAAAAUCCCAUGCCCAUGUACACAAUGCAAUAAUUUUUGUAACCAAACUAAAACAGUUGUGGAGGAUCACUUAUUGACUCAAGGCAUUCGUAAAAGCUACACAAGAUGGAUACACCAUGGGGAACAAUUUCGACACCAAAAUUGUGGGGAUAGUACUAAACAUGGGGAUGGAGAGGAGGAUGUCAAACCAGAAUUGAUGGUAUAACACUAAUCUAGCCAUAACGUACUGUCAAGGCAUUUUAGAUGGCGAUGACCUUUUCUUUGGUUCUAACACGAUUCCCAAGAAGAAGAAGCCAGUCAUUGCUGUGAAGAUGGUUUUUGAAUUGAAGACUACAAGGCCUAUCGUGCUCAUGUUUUGUUCUAGAUGGGAAUCGUGCUCAUAUUUUUGUAUAGAACUUUACUACUCUCUAUUGUGGAUGGGAAAUCACUAGUAUUGUAACUGAAUGGCUUAUUUUGGAUGGUGCAUGGUUUAUGACUCAUUUGAGGCAACAUUUAUAUAUAUAUGUAUUUCGGUUGAUCUUCUAUUGGAAAUGAAUGUUGGUUUUCUUUUC